AACCGCAAAGGGCUCAGUAAACCAGUUUUAAUUUACUAGAGUUGUUACGUUUCGUACGUGGAUACCUGUGGUAAUUCUAGAGCUAAUACAUGCAACUAAGUCCGGCCCAGUAAUGGAAAGGACGCUUUUAUUAGAUCAAAACCAUUCGCCCGACUUGUUUGGGCGUUGUUUUGGUGAAUCUAGAUAACACACAAGAUCGUACAGUCCUUGUACUGACGACAUCUCUUUCAAACGCCUGACUUAUCAGCUGUCGAUGGUAGACUCUGUGUCUACCAUGGCCCUCACGGGUAACGGGGAAUCAGGGUUCGAUUCCGGAGAGGGAGCCUGAGAAACGGCUACCACAUCCAAGGAAGGCAGCAGGCACGCAAAUUACCCACUCCCGGCACGGGGAGGUAGUGACAAAAAAUAACGAUACGGGACUCUAAUGAGGCCCCGUAAUCGGAAUGAGUACACUUUAAAUCCUUUAACAAGGAUCCAUUGGAGGGCAAGUCUGGUGCCAGCAGCCGCGGUAAUUCCAGCUCCAAUAGCGUAUAUUAAAGUUGUUGCGGUUAAAAAGCUCGUAGUUGGUUCUGCGUGCCGCGCUGUCGGUUCGCCGCCUGUCGGUGUAACUGGCAUGUCGCGGCAUGUCCUGUCGGUGGUGAACGAAAUGCGCGGUACUGGCCAUGACUUCAGUAGAAGUUGGGGUUUUGUGCCGUGUGCAAUUCGUUUGCCGAUCUCUCCUACUCCGGUGCUCUUAAACGAGUGUCGAGGUAGGCCGACACGUUUACUUUGAACAAAUUAGAGUGCUUCAAGCAGGCUGAAAUAUCUGCCUGAAUAGUGGUGCAUGGAAUAAUAAAAUAGGACCUCGGUUCUAUUUUGUUGGUUUUAGGAAUAUGAGGUAAUGAUCAAUGUGGACUGGCGGGGGCAUUCGUA
rnacentral:rRNA from 1 species